ACAAACCCUAAAACACGAGCCUCCUUCGUUUUCAUUCACGACUUAUCUCUCUAACUCUUUGUCUCUCGAACCCAAGGAACUCCUUCUUCAUCUCAUCUUAACCUCGUCAAUUUCUUCUUCGAUUUGUCAUUCAUCUCAAGGAUCUAUCAAAAUCAUCCGUAAAUUCUCGUCGAACUUUGUCAGUCUCGACUUCCUCUCGAUCCGAAGAGAUCUUGAAUCUAUGGCUUCUGAAGAUCAUAUUGACAUCGACACUGAACCUGGUUCUGUUCCCGAAUCUGUUCACACUAGAAAAAGGUCAGCAUCGUCGUCAACUAGAAAAAGGUCAGCAUCGUCGUCAAAUACUUUGCGCCUGGCGAAUAGCAAGUCUCUUCAGAAGGUCGGAAGGUGGGAUCUAGCGGCCAUACUUCACCGUUACCGACUCCGUCUUUGCUCCGUGGCGGCGGUAGUCAUACUGUCGAAAACCCUAAUUUUAAGUGGGUUUGGGCUUGUGAGUAUGAUAAUGGGCUUGCAUUUAUUUUCAUGAGCUUAUUAUUUUGGCUUGUAAAUUCUUUAUUGGGCUUGUAAAUUCGUUAUUGGUUGUAAUUUAGUUUUGGUUAACCGAAUAAAACCGAAGAAACCGACAAUAAAAUGAAAUUCGGUUUUA